GACGAACGCUGGCGGCGUGCUUAACACAUGCAAGUCGAACGGAAAGGCCCUGCUUUUGUGGGGUGCUCGAGUGGCGAACGGGUGAGUAACACGUGAGUAAACUGCCCUUGUCAUAGGGAUAACUUCAGGAAACAGGGGAUAAUACCCGGUAGAAGCUCCUGCUGCAUGGUGGGGGUUGGAAAGUUUCGGCGGUUGGGGCUGGACUAGAGGCUUAUCAGCUAGUUGGUGGGGUAGUGGCGUACCAAGGCUUUGACGGGUAGCCGGCAUGGGAGGUGGGCCGGCCACCAGACGACUACGGGAGGCCGCAGUAGCCAAUCGGCGGCAACAGGGGGAAGCAUGACAGAGCGGCGCGGAGCGUGAGAUGAAGGCGCUGGGUUCGGAAUGCUGUGUUUUGGGUGAUGAACCGCUGUCGACUUUGACGAAGCGGUAGUGACGGUAACGAGUCAAGAAGCCCCGGCUAACUACGUG
rnacentral:rRNA from 1 species